rnacentral:tRNA from 4 species
GCUCCCCUGGCGUAAUGGUAACGCGUUGGACUUCUAAUCCAAAGACUGCGGGUUCGAGCCCCGCGGGGAGUG